GAGACACCCUUCUGGGGCAAGACUUGCUUCAGUGGGGCUUUGGUGCUCACUGAGUCUUCCCCCUGAAUUUCCCU
rnacentral:pre_miRNA from 1 species